AGGCUGCCCCAUAUUGCUCUACCUCAUUUUCCUCUCAGGAGGGAUUCAGUGCGCUGUGGGUGUGGUGCUGGCCCCGGGUGUGCGGUGCAGUGAUCAGCUGGUCAAAGAAUCGCAGGAUGGGUCAGGUUGGAAGGGACAUCUGGUCAGUGGAGUCAUCUGGUCCCACCUCCCUGCUCCAGCAGGGUCAUCCCAGAGCACGUGGCACAGGAUCGCACCCAGACGGUUCUGGAAUAUCUCCAGUGACAGUUCUGGGAGACUCCACACCCUCUCUGGACAAUCUGUCCCAGUGCUUGGUCACUGCACAGCAUUGUCUUUGUGCUCGCUUCAUCGACUGCACUGUAAUAACCAGUUUCUCAUUUCUUUUUGCACACAAAAAACACGUGCAGGUACAUGAGCCUACAGGAUGUUGAAGGUGACGCUCUCUGGAGCUCUCAGGUGACCUCAUUGAUAAAGCUGCCUAAUCAAAUUAAGUGCCCUGUGACUUCAGUGAGUUGCCGGUGGGCUGGGAAAGGACUCAUAAUGGAGCAGGAUCACAGCAGGAAGAACUCCCGCUGUGCCUUAUUCAAUUACUCACGGUCAGGGUGAAGGUCGCUACCCCCUGGGCAGAGGUGCCUGCUGGAAGCUGCCUCAUCACCUUUCUGCUGAUGCUGGGAGCUCACAUGCUACUUGAGUAUCCCUUGAUACCUUGGUGUGAUAAAACACUGACUACAUCCUGCUCCUCCCAUCCUGCUCUCCUUCCCACCUCUGUGUACUCCUCACUUUUUGCCUGUGCCUCCCAAUAACCAAGUUGUUCAGUGAUACACUUUUUAAGAGAAAUAUUAGCAGUGCUGUCUUGCUGACCUCACAGCUGGAACCAGUCCCUCUCAGGCUGGUGCUUUUCAGAGACGCUCACUUAAAAAUUAAUUUUUCAAGAUAGCGUAAAUCAUCCGCUGUCCUCAUAUGACAAAUGCUGCAACACUCUACGGCUAAAUUGCCCUUUUUUACUUAUCAGCUGCUGCAUCCAUCAUUUCCAAUAAAAAUAAAGCCAGCAGUUAUCUCUGGCAAGAGCAUGUUGUGUCACCAGUCGUGCUGAGAAAAGGAAGUGGUGUCUGCUCAGGUCAGCAGGAAUGGCUUGUUGCAGGGUAGGAGAACUUAAAUGCUCAGAAAGCUGCUUGAGAAACUGACUCAUCAGUUUUAAAUAUCUCACCUUUUAUUGCGGGCUUCUGAGGAUGUUAGUGGGGAUGCCUAGAUCUAAAAUGGCUCCAGAUACAAAUGAAAACUGGAUGAAAACCCAGCAGUAACUUCAUUCCUCAAAGCAUGGAGAGAGAAGUGUUGGUGGCUGAGGUGGUGGAUCUAGGAGUGGGGCAGCGUCCUCUUCUGCUCCAGCAUCCAUCUGUGUAAAGAGACACUGAAAGGUGAAACUCUCUGAUCCUCCCCUGCUUGUCUCUUGGCACGUGCAGUCCACUUUGCUCACUCACUAAAAGCCUCAGGGGCUUUUUCUAUCUGCAGCAUCUGGUGUUCUUAAAUUGAUGAGAAAGGUGGCUGGUUCCUGGGGAGGUCAUCUUGGGAAAGAGUACUGAAGCAGAGGGAAAGUUUUACAAUAUAUAGGAGCCUGGAUUACAAGGACAUGGUAAAAGGCUUCACAGCAGUAUUUUGUGGAAGUUCAGCUGCCUGCUUGCCUCAGUGGGUGUUACUGUUCUUCAAUUUCCAGAAAAAAACAAUCCCUGUGUCUGCGCUCGGAAGGAGCUGGAAUGUGAAGUAACACAGGCAGAGGAGGAGAAUCGGAGCUGACAGUGAAAAGGGAGCCUGGCAGCCUGGGCUCUGCCUGUAGGCAGAGUUUUUCUUCACUUGAUAUUUCACUAUUUCAGUAGUUUAUUAUGGACGAGGAACAUCUCCAAAAUGGUGCAGGAAGUUUUGUCAUGCCGGAAGCAGAGGGUGCGUGUGACCACAUGGCCACCUCUGUGCCAUGACCUGGAGUGUGUUCCCACAUCGAGCGGCACCAGUGUGGAGUGAUGUCCACCUGGGAAAUCCAUCCCUGAGGUGUUGACAAGGAUAAUUUUUGGGGUGUUUCUUUUCCAUCUAUGUGAUGUAAAGAAACAGUUGAACAAAUGAUUGUGGUGGGUGUAAUGCUGAAGAAAAAAGGCACCAAAACCGUUUUGUGGGAACCUAUGAAAUCCCUGGAGUUACUGAGAAUUUCCUCUUCCCUUCAACUGGAAUGAACUUGAAGAAAUCACAUCAUUGGUGGUAUAUCCUGUGAUUUAUGUAGUGUAAUUUAUGUAGUGUAAUUGCUGGAGUGCUGCAUCAUGCCUUCAGCUUGCUGAAGAACACACAUAAACCUUGACUGAAUUUAGUUCAA